UCUUCUUGCAAAUGUAAAACUAAAACACAAACCACAAAUCAUAUAAAAAAUAAUAAUUUUGAUUACAAAUAAAUUAUAUCAUGCCCGUAAGACGGACCGACCCUAGUCUAAUUAUAUAUCUUUCAGUCCCGUUCAAAAACAGUAGGUACUUUUUUUGUCAAAAUUCUCUUUUUAUUAGAGAAGGGCAUACUACAUGAGAAGUUCAUAAAGCUCAAAUAUAAAAGUACAGACUAAAAAAGCAUUAAAACCCGAAACAGUCCGGCCCAUUUUUAGCCCAUCAGAUCCUCUUGAGUCGUUUUGUGCCACUCAAAUCCACGUGUCUUCUACGAAGAAAAGCUCUGCCACGCGUCUUCAUCUCGAUAUGCAUGAAACAACACUUUAAAUUGAGAUGAUACGUAUCUAAGACGCGCCGCCACUAGAGUGAGAAGCUUUCUGAAACAGCUCUGCCGGUAAAGCGUCGCCACCGAGCACAGUUAUGAACUCCUCCAUCUCCAUCCUUCAUCUAACCGCCGCUUAAGCAGGAACCUCCGCCAAUCAUCGGAAAAUAAAUCUGGGAGAGACUCAGAUGACCUAAUAUAGGAUCUUUACCGGACCAUCUUGAAGAUGUCGAUUCAUCUAAAUCCUCACUAGUAUCAUCCAAGGUUAAUCCAACAUCACUGCUUCCUUUCUAUCAAGGAGACUCCGCUUUAAAGCCAACUUUACGGCUUCAAUCUAAUUGAGCAGAUAUUGAUUCCUUUAAAAAAAAAGCAAGUGCAAACCGAGAGGAAAGAAAAGACCCUUCUUAAGCAAACGGGGUCAUAAUAAGCUGCGAAGGAGGAUUCUAUAUACUACAACUCAAUCUUCAUCGGAGAACAAAAAAUCAGCCUUGAGGCUUCAUUCCGAUUCCGUUUGAAACAUCACGACAAAAAAUCGCCACCGCGAAGGGAAGGAUUCGCCACCGCAAAAAGAAAGAUUCGACACCGCGAAGAGAACGAUUCGUCAAGCGAAAUAUAUACAUCAAAAAAACAAAAAACAAAAAACAAAAAACAAAAAGAAAAAUGGUAGCCGGCGGCAAAGACCACCAGCCACCGAACGAUGAUUAUUAUAGAAAGCUUUUCUAGUGAGAAGUUGGAGGAUUUAGAGAGAGAAGUCGAUUGUAUUAAAACAUUAGGUACAAUAACCCAUUAUUCGAUUUUAUUUUUUUCUUUGUAGUAUUAUUCUUUUAGUUUUUCUGAAUUCAAAAUAUAUAAUUGAGAAAUCUAAUAAAUAAACGGAA
rnacentral:lncRNA from 1 species